UAUUUCGGAUACUGAUGUUUCAGAAAGUAUAUUGGCAAUGAAUAGCACUGAGUGAAACCACAGUGCCCAGCAGACACUUGAACUGUAGUGUGAAAACUGGCAGCACUUAUGCGUCAGGACAAUUCUAUCUGGAGGGGGGAAAAAAAAGGUUGAAAAAACAACAGCAUCACGGACUGAGGCUCCUGCAGAAGAGGAAUUUCUUACAGCUAAGUGGGACCUGACAGAGACACGAUGUCUGUCCAGAAGUCUCACUUCCAUGACUGAGUUCCCAGAAUUUUCUUUUUGUCUCCAGGCAAUAGGUAUCUAAACUAUCUUUUGAGGGGGCCAAGUCAGAGGCCAUGUUGGCUCUCUCUUCAAAUAAUAUGACUGGAUGUGACUCACAAUGCUCUCAGAGGGCACCUUCCACAGCACAAUACCCAUCUCAGGUGCCUUACUACACUGGAAGAUUUAAUAUACAGUUGACAGCUGAAUAUACUUUCAGGCAUACCUGGUCAGGCUGUCCAAUGACUUGCAGACAUUUCUCAAAUGAWCUCUCAGAAGAAAAAAGGUAUCUCUUCCSACUCUUCAUUCCAGCUUUGGUGGUGGUAUAUAACUUAUGUGCCUGCUC
rnacentral:lncRNA from 1 species